GACAGUGUGACAUAGUGGAAAGGACACUGGAUUUGGAGCCCAAGGACCCAAGUUCAAAUCUUGGUUCUGUCA
rnacentral:tRNA from 1 species